UACAGAGGGGGCAAGCGUUAUUCGGAAUUAUUGGGCGUAAAGGGCGCGUAGGCGGCCUGGCAAGUGGAAGGUGAAAUCCCUCGGCUUAACCGAGGAACUGCCUUCCAAACUGCUUGGCUUGAGUCCGGGAGAGGUGAGUGGAAUUCCCAGUGUAGCGGUGAAAUGCGUAGAUAUCUGGAGGAACACCGGUGGCGAAGGCGGCAUCCUGGACCGACAUUGACGCUGAGGAGCGAAAGCCAGGGGAGCAAACGGG
rnacentral:rRNA from 1 species